AUAAGUGAAUAGUGAAAUCUGGGGGCUCAACCUCACAGGCUAUUAUUCGAACUCACUGACUCGAGAACAGCAGAGGUAACUGGAAUUUCUGAAGUAGGGGUAAUAUCCGUAGAUAUCAGAAGGAACACCAAUGGCGUAGGCAGGUUACUGGGCUGUUUCUGACACUGAGGCACGAAAGCGUGGGGGAGCGAACCGGAUUAGAUACCCGGGUAGUCCACGCCGUAAACGAUGGAUACUA
rnacentral:rRNA from 1 species